GACGAACGCUGGCGGCGUGCUUAACACAUGCAAGUCGAACGGAAAGGCCCUGCUUUUGUGGGGUGCUCGAGUGGCGAACGGGUGAGUAACACGUGAGUAACCUGCCCUUGACUUUGGGAUAACUUCGGGAAACUGGGGCUAAUACCGGAUAGGAGCUCCUGCUGCAUGGUGGGGGUUGGAAAGUUUCGGCGGUUGGGGAUGGACUCGCGGCUUAUCAGCUUGUUGGUGGGGUAGUGGCUUACCAAGGCUUUGACGGGUAGCCGGCCUGAGAGGGUGACCGGCCACAUUGGGACUGAGAUACGGCCCAGACUCCUACGGGAGGCAGCAGUGGGGAAUAUUGCACAAUGGGCGGAAGCCUGAUGCAGCAACGCCGCGUGCGGGAUGACGGCCUUCGGGUUGUAAACCGCUUUCGCCUGUGACGAAGCGUGAGUGACGGUAAUGGGUAAAGAAGCACCGGCUAACUACGUGCCAGCAGCCGCGGUGAUACGUAGGGUGCGAGCGUUGUCCGGAUUUAUUGGGCGUAAAGGGCUCGUAGGUGGUUGAUCGCGUCGGAAGUGUAAUCUUGGGGCUUAACCCUGAGCGUGCUUUCGAUACGGGUUGACUUGAGGAAGGUAGGGGAGAAUGGAAUUCCUGGUGGAGCGGUGGAAUGCGCAGAUAUCAGGAGGAACACCAGUGGCGAAGGCGGUUCUCUGGGCCUUUCCUGACGCUGAGGAGCGAAAGCGUGGGGAGCGAACAGGCUUAGAUACCCUGGUAGUCCACGCUGUAAACGGUGGGUACUAGGUGUGGGGUCCAUUCCACGGGUUCCGUGCCGUAGCUAACGCUUUAAGUACCCCGCCUGGGGAGUACGGCCGCAAGGCUAAAACUCAAAGGAAUUGACGGGGCCCCGCACAAGCGGCGGAGCAUGCGGAUUAAUUCGAUGCAACGCGUAGAACCUUACCUGGGUUUGACAUGGAUCGGGAGUGCUCAGAGAUGGGUGUGCCUCUUUUGGGGUCGGUUCACAGGUGGUGCAUGGCUGUCGUCAGCUCGUGUCGUGAGAUGUUGGGUUAAGUCCCGCAACGAGCGCAACCCUUGUUCACUGUUGCCAGCACGUUAUGGUGGGGACUCAGUGGAGACCGCCGGGGUCAACUCGGAGGAAGGUGGGGAUGACGUCAAGUCAUCAUGCCCCUUACGUCCAGGGCUUCACGCAUGCUACAAUGGCUGGUACAGAGAGUGGCGAGCCUGUGAGGGUGAGCGAAUCUCGGAAAGCCGGUCUCAGUUCGGAUUGGGGUCUGCAACUCGACCUCAUGAAGUCGGAGUCGCUAGUAAUCGCAGAUCAGCAACGCUGCGGUGAAUACGUUCCCGGGGCU
rnacentral:rRNA from 1 species